UUAAGUGAACAAGGGCAUACGGCGGAUGCCUUGGCGCCAAGAGCCGAUGAAGGACGCGGUAAGCUGCGAAAAGGCAUGGGUAGGAGCAAGCAUCCUGUGAUCCAUGCAUAUCCGAAUGGGGCAACCCACCAUCAGUCAUGUGAUGGUACGAAAGAGGCAGACCUGGGGAACUGAAACAUCUAAGUACCCAGAGGAAAAGUAAUCAAUUGAGAUUCCCUAAGUAGCGGCGAGCGAAAGGGGAAGAGCCCAAACCAUGAAACUUCGGUUUUGUGGGGUUGAGGACCGGCAAAAAGAGGAAACUUCUUAGUCGAAUGGUUUGGAAAGGCCAUGCACAGAAGGUAAAACACCUGUAGGCGAAAAGAAGUCAAUCGGGCUGGUAUCCAGAGUACUGCGAGACACGUGAAACCUUGCAGGAAGCAGGGGGGACCACCCUCCAAGGCAAAAUACUACUUGGCGACCGAUAGCGCAUAGUACCGUGAGGGAAAGGUGAAAAGAACCCCGGGAGGGGAGUGAAAUAGAACCUGAAACCGUAUGUCUACAAGCAGUCGAAGCACCUUAAGAGUGCGACGGCGUGCCUAUUGAAGAAUGAACCGGCGAGUUACAUUAUGUUGCGAGGUUAAGUGGGAGACACGGAGCCGAAGCGAAAGCGAGUCUUAAUAGGGCGACUAGUAACAUGGUGUAGACCCGAAACCGCAGUGAUCUAUCCAUGGUCAGGUUGAAGCGCAGGUAAAAAUGCGUGGAGGACCGAACCCGUGAGUGUUGAAAAACUUUGGGAUGAACCGUGGAUAGGGGUGAAAUGCCAAUCGAACGCGGAGAUAGCUGGUACUCCCCGAAAUAGCUUUAGGGCUAGCCUCAGGGAAGAUUAUAGACGGUAGAGCACUGAUCUGGCAAGGGGGCGUAAAGCCUACCGACCCUAGUCAAACUUCGAAUGGCUAUAAUUAAGACCCUGGGAGUCAGACUGCGAGUGAUAAGACCCGUAGUCAAGAGGGAAACAGCCCAGACCGCCGACUAAGGUCCCCAAUGCUGUACUAAGUGGAAAAGGAUGUAAGACUUCAUAAACAACCAGGAUGUUGGCUUAGAAGCAGCCACCAUUAAAAGAGUGCGUAAUAGCUCACUGGUCGAGAGGCCUUGCGCCGAAGAUGUCCGGGGCUCAAGUACAGAACCGAAGUCGCGGCAGGAUUAUAUAAUUCUGGGUAGGGGAGCGUUGUAUAUCCGACUGAAGGUGUACCGGAAGGAGCGCUGGAGGAUAUACAAGAGAGAAUGCCGGUAUGAGUAGCGAAAAGAACAGUGAGAAUCUGUUCCACCGAAAGCCUAAGGUUUCCUGAGCAACGCUCGUCGACUCAGGGUAAGUCGGGACCUAAGCCGAGGCAAAAAGCAUAGGCGAUGGACAACAGGUUAAUAUUCCUGUACCGCUUCAAAUCGUUUGAGCAAUGGAGUGACACAGAAGGUAGCUUGAGCACGCGAAUGGAUGUGCGUGUCGAAGGUGGUAGGUUGCAGUAUAGGCAAAUCCGUACUGUAUAAGACCGAGAACUGAUAGAUAGACGAUACUUCGGUAAAGUCAAAUUCAAGUGAGCCAUGCUGUCGAGAAAAGCUUCUAGUGAGAGAUGAGGCGCCCGUACCGAAACCGACACAGGUAGGCGGGGAGAGAAUCCUAAGGUGCGCGGGACAACCCUCGUUAAGGAACUCGGCAAAUUGUAUCCGUAACUUAGGGAUAAGGAUAGCCGGAGGAUGUGAAGGGAUUUACUUCUGGAGCGUCAGCCGGUGGCACAAGAGAGGCCCAAGCGACUGUUUAGCACAAACACAGGUGCCUGCAAAAGAGAAAUCUGACGUAUAGGUGCUGACACCUGCCCGGUGCUGGAAGGUUAAGAGGAGGGCUUAGAGGCAACUCGAAGGCUUGAAUUGAAGCCCCAGUAAACGGCGGCCGUAACUAUAACGGUCCUAAGGUAGCGAAAUUCCUUGUCGGGUAAGUUCCGACCCGCACGAAAGGUGUAACG
rnacentral:rRNA from 1 species